AGAUUACUGUCAAAUCCCUUCGUGAGUCCUUGUUUGAUUUUCUAAAGAUCGUGUACCGCACCUUCAGCAGUUAAGCAAAAUGAUACAAUGCCGAACUUAGAUAUUUUAACACGGUUAGACACUGCUGCUUUUUUACUAUGCUAGUGCUAAGAAAAACAUGGUAAAUUAUUAAAUUUAAAUAUCAUUUCUCAUAAAUUGCCUGUUUAAAUACAUCGAACAUUAAA